ACAUGCAAGUCGGGCGGUAAGGCCCUUUCGGGGGUACACGAGCGGCGAACGGGUGAGUAACACGUGGGUGACCUGCCCUUAGCUCUGGGAUAAGCCUGGGAAACUGGGUCUAAUACUGGAUAUGACUCCGUGCCGCAUGGUGUGGGGUGGAAAGCCUUGUGCGGCUAGGGAUGGGCCCGCGGCCUAUCAGCUUGUUGGUGGGGUGAUGGCCUACCAAGGCGACGACGGGUAGCCGGCCUGAGAGGGCGAUCGGCCACACUGGGACUGAGACACGGCCCAGACUCCUACGGGAGGCAGCAGUGGGGAAUUUUGCGCAAUGGGCGGAAGCCUGACGCAGCGACGCCGCGUGAGGGAUGACGGCCUUCGGGUUGUAAACCUCUUUCAGCCCUGACGAAGCCCUGUGGGGUGACGGUAGGGGUAGAAGAAGCACCGGCCAACUACGUGCCGGCAGCCGCGGUAAUACGUAGGGUGCAAGCGUUGUCCGGAAUUAUUGGGCGUAAAGAGCUUGUAGGCGGUCUGUCGCGUCGGCUGUGAAAUCCCGGGGCUCAACUCCGGGCUUGCAGUCGAUACGGGCAGGCUGGAGUUCGGCAGGGGAGACUGGAAUUCCUGGUGUACU
rnacentral:rRNA from 1 species